AGCAGCCGCGGUAAUUCCAGCUCCAAUAGCGUAUAUUAAAGUUGUUGCAGUUAAAAAGCUCGUAGUUGAAUUUCGGGAUCAAUAUGUUGGUCGUGCCUUGGUACGUACUGGCAUUAUUGAUUCCUACCUUCUGAAGAACCUCAAUGUCAUUAAUUUGGUGUCUUGGGGAAUCAGGACCGUUACUUUGAAAAAUUAGAGUGUUUAAAGCAGGCUCGCGCUUGAAUACAUUAGCAUGGAAUAAUGAAAUAGGACGUUUAAUUCUAUUUUGUUGGUUUCUAGGAUCGACGUAAUGAUUAAUAGGGAUAGUUAGGGCAUUAGUAUUCAAUUGUCAGAGGUGAAAUUCUUGGAUUUAUUGAAGACUGACUACUGCGAAAGCAUUUGCCAAGGAUGUUUUCAUUAAUCAAGAACGAAAGUUAGGGAUCGAAGACGAUCAGAUACCGUUGUAGUCUUAACCAU
rnacentral:misc_RNA from 1 species